rnacentral:rRNA from 1 species
CCUACGGGAGGCAGCAGUAGGGAAUCUUCCACAAUGGGCGCAAGCCUGAUGGAGCAACACCGCGUGAGUGAAGAAGGGUUUCGGCUCGUAAAGCUCUGUUGUUGGAGAAGAACGUUCGUGAGAGUAACUGUUCACGCAGUGACGGUAUCCAACCAGAAAGUCACGGCUAACUACGUGCCAGCAGCCGCGGUAAUACGUAGGUGGCAAGCAUUAUCCGGAUUUAUUGGGCGUAAGGCGAGCGCAGGCGGUUGACUAGGUCUGAUGUGAAAGCCUUCGGCUUAACCGGAGAAUUGCAUCGGAAACUGGUGAACUUGGGAGCAGAGGAGGAGAGUGGAACUCAAUGUGUAGCGGUGGAAUGCGUAGAUAUAUGGAAGAACACCAGUGGCGAAGGCGGCUCUCUGGUCUGCAACUGACGCGGAGGCUCGAAAGCAUGGGUAGCGAACAGGAUUAGAUACCCCUGUAGUC